rnacentral:rRNA from 1 species
GACGAACGCUGGCGGCGUGCCUAAUACAUGCAAGUAGAACGCACAGUUUAUACCGUAGCUUGCUACACCAUAGACUGUGAGUUGCGAACGGGUGAGUAACGCGUAGGUAACCUGCCUGGUAGCGGGGGAUAACUAUUGGAAACGAUAGCUAAUACCGCAUAAUAUUGAUUAUUGCAUGAUAAUUAAUUGAAAGGUGCAAUUGCACCACUACCAGAUGGACCUGCGUUGUAUUAGCUAGUAGGUGAGGUAACGGCUCACCUAGGCGACGAUACAUAGCCGACCUGAGAGGGUGAUCGGCCAAACUGGGACUGAGACACGGCCCAGACUCCUAAGGGAGGCAGCAGGAGGGAAUCUUCGGCAAUGGACGAAAGUCUGACCGAGCAACGCCGCGUGAGGGAAGAAGGUUUUCGGAUCGGAAAGCUCUGUUGUAAGAGAAGAAAGGGUGUGAGAGUGGAAAGUUCACACUGUGACGGUAGCUUACCAGAAAGAGACGGCUAACUACGUG